rnacentral:misc_RNA from 1 species
UUUCCGUAGGUGGACCUGCGGAAGGAUCAUUACUGAGUGAGGGGCCCUCGGGGUCCAACCUCCCACCCGUGUUUAACGAACAUUGUUGCUUCGGCGGGCCCGGCUCACGGGCGCCGGGGGGGAUUCGCCCCCGGGCCGCCGCCCGCCGAAUCCUACUAUGAUCGCUGUCAGAUGUAUGCAGUUUGCGAAAUUUAUUAAAUUAAUUAAAACUUUCAACAACGGAUCUCUUGGUUCCG